GACUGUCAGAUGGCAUUACAGAUGAAGAGUGAGAGCAGUGAUUACAUCAAUCUCAAUUUUGAUCCUAGAUGCUCCCUUAAAAAAGUGGGGAAGGCAAAUAAUAGCUGCAUGUAUUUAUAAAGGAAUUCUGAAGAAGGCUUGGCACAAUUCUUGUAAGGGUGAUGAAUAGGCACUGCUAUAAGAGAAUGGACGCUUAGCAGCAUGCGCUAUGGGGAUGCUACUGAAACAUCAGCAAGUGCUAAGUCGGGUGGCACCUCGUUGUGACUUACAGUGCUGAUUUACCUCCUGGUGGUAGAAUUAGAAAAUAGGGGGGGUUUCCAGUACAGGUGAUCUUUUUCAAUGCUAAUUUACCAUCUGCUAGGAACAGGUGGUGUUUCCCUUCGAGCAUAGUUCUAUUGUAAGGAAAUAAAAUGGUGAAUUUUCCAUUCCAGGACAUUUUUGUUCAAAGAAAAGUUGAGAAUCUGCAUAAUUUCCAAUGGGUAUAGAUACCUGCCAGAGAACUGUGAUGUAGUUUAAUCACGGACAUCUUUUAAUCCUGUCAACUUUACUGUCUCUGGGAUAGUUUGUGACAUUGAAGAAUGCUAUCAAUUUACAUACAACUUGAAUGCAAGAUUAGGAAGAAAUGGAGGAGGUUAAGACAAAGAAAAAUCUCUGCCACGAGUUGAUUUUUCAUAUAAUUUGGAAGAAACAUGACAUAGCAGAGCUCACCAGAGAACCAGAAAAUACAGAGAGAGACAGAGAGAGAGAAAGAAAUUCCUUGGUAUUAAUUUUGAGCAUCUGCACCACUCAUAUAUUUGUGCCCAGCUGGAACUCCUUGCUUUGGUAUCAUGGGACAGGUACUGGAUCUUUGUGAACCGUACUUUCAAAUGUUGAAACCUAAGUUGCUCCUUAGGUACUCUGAGACUUGAUAAUAUGGGUCUGGGGCUGCUGUCCACUGGUUGUCCAUAUCAGCUACUUGUUAAAUUUUGCAUUUAGAUAUGAAAUUGUUGUGGAAUUUGAGUUUUUAAAAAGUAUCAGAAGUACUACUAAACAUGUACAGAAGUUAUCCUUCUGUAAUUCCAUUUUACUUACAUUACUACACCUGUACAUUUUUAGGAAAAAGAUAAAAAAGACUUCAAGCUUAAGUGUUCUCAGAUGUGAAAAGACACUGAUUGUACUGAUAAUUUUAUGUAUUGCAUUCAUGCUGGAUGAACUACUUCAGGCACAGUGUCUUUAGAUGAAAUAAUUAUUUUUCUACCAAAACUAAGAUAAAAAGAGGAUGGAGAUAUUCUGGAGAGCCAAUGAGAUGUACCUGACCAACAUUAUGAGAAUCAGAACCUUGUCCAUGAGGUUACAAUUUAAAGCGAGUCAUGUUCCGAUGUUGCUUAUAUUCAGGACAGUUGUGUGCACCCCAGAUCUUAAUGAUACAUUUUAAAGAUAUCCAGACUCUAUACAAAGAAUAUUAGAGGU
rnacentral:lncRNA from 1 species